rnacentral:lncRNA from 1 species
UCCCUGUCUCAGGAGGCACCCAGUGGCAUCAGGCAGAGGAAGUGCUGCAGCACAGCUGGCCAGGAAGGCCAUGCAGAGGAGAGGACCCGAGUGUGACCAGCCAGCCCAUUCCUUAUCCAAGCAGCGUGCAGCCAUGUGCACACUGUGUGUGCCAGAACAGACCCUUUCAAGAGCUCCAGAAGACUUUUUUAGCCUCUUUGUUUCAUCUGCAAGACCAAAAAGGAAAGAGAGGUUUCUGCAACUGGGAAGCAGGAGAAGAGAGCGGAGUGACAAGACUUCACCUGUACCGUAG